UACGUAGGGUGCGAGCGUUAAUCGGAAUUACUGGGCGUAAAGCGUGCGCAGGCGGUUUUGUAAGACAGAGGUGAAAUCCCCGGGCUCAACCUGGGAACUGCAUUUGUGACUGCAUGGCUAGAGUACGGUAGAGGGGGAUGGAAUUCCGCGUGUAGCAGUGAAAUGCGUAGAUAUGCGGAGGAACACCGAUGGCGAAGGCAAUCCCCUGGACCUGUACUGACGCUCAUGCACGAAAGCGUGGGGAGCAAACAGG
rnacentral:rRNA from 1 species